rnacentral:rRNA from 1 species
AUUGAACGAUGGCGGCAGGCCUAACCCAUGCAAGUCGAGCGGAGCGGCGGACGGGUGAGUAAUGCCUAGGAAUCUGCCUGGUAGUGGGGGAUAACGUCCGGAAACGGGCGCUAAUACCGCAUACUAACGAAUGGGCGUAGGGCGGGUUAGCUAGUGGGUGGGGUAAAGGCCUACCAAGGCGACGAUCCGUAACUGGUCUGAGAGGAUGAUCAGUCACACUGGAACUGAGACACGGUCCAGAUUCCUACGGUAGGCAGCAGUGGGGAAUAUUGGACAAUGGGCGAAAGCCUGAUCCAGCCAUGCCGCGUGUGUGAAGAAGGUCUUCGGAUUGUAAAGCACUUUAAGUUGGGAGGCGUUACCAACAGAAUAAGCACCGGCUAACUUCGUGCCAGCCGCCGCGGUAAUUC